rnacentral:rRNA from 1 species
AUGUUCAACGAGACCAAGUUGCAGUUCCAUUUGGCAUCUGAGGUAGUGUUGCAGCUGGAUGUUGCACAGGAGAAGCGGCAGCUUACAUGCAGUGAGUUCUGGCUGCGGAAAACCCUGAAGCUGAAGAUCAUCGGCCUCACAGCUCUCGAGCGCGUCAGAAGGUGGCAGGCCUCGCGCAUCAUCUGUCUCAAAGCGGGCGACGCCUCCACAGCCUUUUUCCAGGCAAAGCAGACCUCCAGGCGCCGCAAAAACAUCAUACAAGGCAUCCUAUCGGCAGGCGCCAUCAAGACCAGCCACACCGACAAGGCGGCCAUUCACCUCAUCGACCGCGUCCGUGCAAGACUGGCAGGCUGGAAGGGUCGGCUUAUGCCAAUCGCGGGCCGGCGAGUGCUGGUGCAUUGCGUGCUCUCUGCACUGCCGGCCUUCGACCUUGCAGUCCUGCACACCCCAAAGAAAUUCCACAAAGAUGUGGACAGCGCAAGACGCCGGUUUCUAUGGGCCCAGGAUGAGGAAAUCUCUGGCAGGAAGUGCAAGAAGCACCCGGACAGGCCGUGGGUAGGCACAGGUUCGCCAUGCGAUGACAAGGAUAGGGAGUUGUUUGCCUCUGAAACUAGGGUUGCCAUAGGAAACAGAAGGAAUGCCACGUUUUGGAACUGCAACUGGCUCGGCGACCUGCCGCUCAAGCUACGGUUCCCACUGCUGUUAGCCAACUCAUCCAGGAAGAACCGAAUGGUGGCUGAAUAUAGCGCAAAAUUAGCCUACGACGCUCAGUUCGCUGGGCUGCCCAGGGGUGCACUACAGCAGCUCAUCUGGAAGGUAUGGGCACCGGGGAAAAUCAAGUUCUUCAUGUGGCUGUUGCAGCACGACCAGCUCUGGUGCAACGAUCGACUACAGCUGGGCGGCUGGGAAAAUGGUUACUUCUAUCAAUUAUGCCUCCGAAGCUUGGAGAGCUCGACACACCUACUGUGA